rnacentral:rRNA from 1 species
AAUAGAUACCCUGGUAGUCCACGCCGUAAACGAUGAGUGCUAAGUGUUAGAGGGUUUCCGCCCUUUAGUGCUGCAGCUAACGCAUUAAGCACUCCGCCUGGGGAGUACGGCCGCAAGGCUGAAACUCAAAGGAAUUGACGGGGGCCCGCACAAGCGGUGGAGCAUGUGGUUUAAUUCGAAGCAACGCGAAGAACCUUACCAGGUCUUGACAUCCUCUGCCAACCCCAGAGAUAGGGCGUUCCCCUUCGGGGGACAGAGUGACAGGUGGUGCAUGGUUGUCGUCAGCUCGUGUCGUGAGAUGUUGGGUUAAGUCCCGCAACGAGCGCAACCCUUGAUCUUAGUUGCCAGCAUUCAGUUGGGCACUCUAAGGUGACUGCCGGUGACAAACCGGAGGAAGGUGGGGAUGACGUCAAAUCAUCAUGCCCCUUAUGACCUGGGCUACACACGUGCUACAAUGGAUGGUACAAAGAGCUGCGAACCCGCGAGGGUAAGCGAAUCUCAUAAAGCCAUUCUCAGUUCGGAUUGUAGG